AUUGAACGCUGGCGGCAUGCCUUACACAUGCAAGUCGAACGGUAACGCGGGGCAACCUGGCGACGAGUGGCGAACGGGUGAGUAAUAUAUCGGAACGUGCCCAGUAGUGGGGGAUAGCCCGGCGAAAGCCGGAUUAAUACCGCAUACGACCUACGGGUGAAAGCGGGGGAUCGCAAGACCUCGCGCUAUUGGAGCGGCCGAUAUCAGAUUAGGUAGUUGGUGGGGUAAAGGCCUACCAAGCCUACGAUCUGUAGCUGGUCUGAGAGGACGACCAGCCACACUGGGACUGAGACACGGCCCAGACUCCUACGGGAGGCAG
rnacentral:rRNA from 1 species